GCGCGCUCCACGGGCCACAGUUCGCUCCCGGCCGCGCAGCACUCGCCCCGCUCUACCCGCCGCACCGCCGCCGCACCGCUGCCGCGUGCUGGCUCCAGUCAAAGCAUUCAGUGAACAAAGUAUGGACUUGACGUGUUCAUGCGUGACCAGAGUGACCUACCUCGCGUGCUGUAAACAUAUUCUAGUGGCAGAAGUUCAGAAGUAAUUGGAAAUUAAAAUGAAUGGACAUUCUGAUGCUUCUACAUCCACGGAUGACGUGAAGAGUCGCCCGCUGUGCCUGUUCUACUUCACACACCCGUUCGGCGUGCUGUCUCCGGAGCCUCCCUGCGUGACGGCGGCGCCUCCUCACGUCGCACGCGCCUUCCUCAACAUGCAGCCAGUGUCGCCCUUCGACUUGUGGUCGUCGACCUCCGACCCCUCGUACAACACCGACACCAGUGACAGCUCGAGGCCUGCAUAUGACCUGGGCAACGUGACCGUCCACAAGAGUCCCGUCAACCUCAUCAGUCUCAGUAAGGCUCAACACUCAGUCGACUUCGCGCGGCCCGACUCCAUCUCGUCGUCCUUGUUCUCGAGCGACAUCUGGUUCAACUCCGGCUCCACCUCGCGAAGCAACGAGUGUUCCCGCCGGGUGAUACCGUACAACAGGAUCCUGCCUCCGCUGCAGAUGACGCGGACCAUCUCCGACUUGCGCAGUCCCGAGGAGCUCUGGCCAAAAAAAUGUUUGAAUCCGGAGAAGUUUUCGUUACCGCCGAUAGAGUUACCAGCGUUGCGCGAGGAAACGCCGGCAGUCGAGGAGACCUUGCCUGUGAGCGACGGGAGGAAGACGCGGAUCCGCCGCCGGGAGGGCGUCGUCAAGGUCAGGUGCCGGCGGCGGGUCGGUGACGCGAGGAGAGUGCUCGUUUGCCUCAUGCGAAGAGUUAUCCGAGGAGGUGAGGAGAGCAGUCCGUCGCCGGCGCUGCGGGAGGUGCUUCAGAUCAUCCGCGAGGCCUGGACCGAGCCCACUUCGUUGUUCGAUCGCUGCGCGCCGCGCCCGAGCCGAGCCCGCUCCCCCGCCGCCCCCGCCCCCGCCGGCGCCAUGCUGUCCCGCGACGCGUCCCCCGGCCUGCUGCGGCGACGGUACUCCGUGCCCGAAACCAUCAUGAGGAGGUAUCGAGUGGUACAGCAGCGGACCGAAUGUGAAGAGAGCACGGCGGGCUCCGCGGGGUCGGGCUCCGGCGCGGGACGAGGUGUGUCCUCCGCCUGCGCCACGCCCCACCCGGCCCGCGACCGCGAGCUCAUGCGCAAGUCUGCUCUCCUGAGGCGGAUGUGGGGCCGCGCGCCUCCAGCCUGCUGCCGCUGCUGCUGCGACCAGCUGUCGGCGCGACCCUCGCGCUCCCUGGACGGAUCCCACGCCGAGCUGCGACCGCGCCGCGACCCCGUCCUCUCCGCUUCCACAUACCGCUCGCACGAGGCGAGGGGAAUUUCUUCCUGCGUCGACACUGUGACCGAUACAGAUGCUUGGCGCUCCGAAGAUCAGGCACCCUCUUUGCUGGACGAGACCGUCACGGCAGAGAUCGAAUCGGCUUCAGGGCUGCCCCCGAGCAGCGAGUCAGCGCCGAGGAUACCGUCAUCUAUUUCGACGAGCCUCAGUACGGGACAGAACACCGAGAUGUGUGUUGUUUCUCCCGCUGCCGACGCGCGCGGGACGCCACCUAUGCACAUCGAAAACGCUUUACUGUUAUCGAGUAAUACAUUAGUAGAUUCAGAGGCACCAUCACUAUCCGAAGUGCUGGAAAUAGUUGUGACGGAGACCUCGGAACCGAAGGUCGUUCCCUGUCUGCGCCCCGCCGCCCCAAGAUCUCAACCUACCACUCGCCUCGACAUCGACCGUUACGUCUCAGAUGUUCUGGUGGAGAGCUUGAACUCUCUGUCAGAUCGCCUGGAGUGCGUCACGGGUUCAGUAGAAGGCGACGGAAAGAUCAGUAUCGUUGAGAAAGAAAUAAAAGUGAGACUGCACAGUACCGGAGUGAACACCAUAGUUCACCUGAGCCCGACCUCCAAUCAUCAAAUAAUAUUUGGUAACGAGGAGCUGUGCGACGGCGCUGAGCGUGACGCCUGCAAUAACUUGCGCGGCUCCCCCCGCAUCCGGGAUGAUACCUCCUUUGAUGACGAACGAAACAACAACCGAGCUGCCUCGGCCGCCACUACACCUGCCCCCUCGUCCCCUUGUCGACGGUAUCACGACGAGACAUUCGGGGAGCUCUUACAGCACGAUAAUGUUAACAAAACGGUUUUGCAACAGAUUCAAAAAUUGUUCAAAGAAGAACUUCAGAGUCUCGGCGCCGGCCUCAGCUGUCCAGACAACGUCACGUCCGGUAUAUCACACAUUGAAAUCUCUAACGUAGACGUCUUCUUGGAUGAGAACGACGUACCCACCGUCGAGGUGGCUGACUCGAGUAACAGUCAUCAGCAGCACUCCGAGCUACAAGUGUUAAGCGGAGUCGGAACCGGCAGCUAUUUUGAAACAAGCGAGGGAGCCCUAGUGGUACCGCGCUUCUCAGCGCUACCCCACAGUGAUUCGAUGGAGGUGAACACCUCUUCAUCCGAAGAAGCCGAUCUCAUCGGUUCGGAUUGUACGAGUCUUGUCGACAGCCUCGACGACCCCAACUCGCCGCGGUCUGUUUUAUUGCGAAGAUCCUUCAACAACCGGAAGAGUGAGCUUGUGCGGUCCGCCCUCGACGUCCUAGACCUCUUGCCAGAGAGCACUCGGGACGAACGUAACGAUAAGCCUGAAUCAUUUUUUAUAAGAAUCAAAGAUGACAAUUGUGAAUGUGACAAAGAAAACUUUAACGUGGCCGACCGCAUGCCCGAGAAGAUAAGAGAGAGAUUGUUCCGUCGUCACCGACGCAGGCAGCUCCGGGCGGAGUGCGCGAGACGCAGCAGAGGGAAGCAGUUGCGAAUUGACGCGGACAACCAACAGAAAGACGAACCCUCCAAAACUAAAAGGGAGAUUGAAAGAGAAUGCGUUGCGAUCAUUAAUUCUCUUAUCGAUGAAGUGAUUGCAAAAAUUGCAAAAGAAGAAUUUAAAUGUGCACGCAUCAAAAGAAAAUCCGAACGCCGUGCGCCCACAAAAUGUGAGGAAAAUUCAUCUAAGAAGAAUCGCAAGAAGAAUUUGCGAUCUUCAGACCCAACACUAAGUGCUGCAGCGAAAGUAAGUCCGAAUAGAGUAGGUGUCGUCGGGGACAGUCGACAGACAGAAGAGAAACACAAAGUUCACGGGAAAUUAUCGCUAAUGACGCGCCCAGCUCUAAACCUCGUCGACGCUGCUCCAAGACGCAUCUACCAAAAGUCUGAGAUCCUCGAAGGCAACAAAUGUAUCGAAAUACUAGAAAUAGUUGAGUAUAUGAAUGACACACAGAGCAAUCCCGACACAGUCGUAUCUGAUGACAGCCCCGGGGGUGCGACUCGCGGCGGACGGAGAUCCCGCAUCCCGGUACCAGUACCCGAAAGGCAUCAGCGCUCAUAUCCAUCCGAACCGCGACGUAUAUCCAACAGCGCAGACAACUCGCCGGCGUCUCCACAGGAUGCACAUACAGAAGACCCACUCAGCGGGGGCCGGCGGCGUCGUGCGAGCGAUGGAGAUCUGAGAACAGUUGGUGUGGACCCUCCGACUUCGCGACGAGUUUUUUUCCCACCUUCGAUGGACAGUAGGCCGCGCUCCGAUUCUUUAAGAUUUCAUCGAGUUUUCGACAUCAUCCCUGAGGAGCGCAGCAGUCUUAGCGUGGACUCGUCACCAGAGGUGGAGCGUGUAUCCACGACCUCAUCCGUCGCGGCCCCUCACCCCUCACCUGCACCCCGCACGAGAUCGGUGGCCACGUCGCCUCUCGGGGCAGGGAGUGUGGGGGUCGCGGCACCCCUAAGAGUGAAAGGCGGGGACAGACCACGGAGAGCGCGCGUCUGGGCACCAAUAAGUCGUCGCGAAGAAGGUGUCCGAAAUAGCAUGGACAAGGGGACCCGAGCGGAGCCGGUGGUAGGCGCAAACCCGACGCCCAAACGUGAUAAUAAAACAAAAACUGAGAAGAAGACAAUCUUCAGUAAGCUAGGUGAACGACAUAAGCCUGUCCACUCGGAUCUUAAGAAUCAUGUCGAGGAAGCAACAAAACCCAUUACUAAUGUACAAGAAAAAAAACCUUUCGACCAGCAUCCGAGAAAAAGUGAAGGGGAGUCUAGUCUGGGGACAGAGCUUGCACCGGGAUCCGAAGGCGAGGUCGAGAGUUCAAGUGAGGGCUCUGAACGAGACGGCGGGCUGCUGUGCUCGCGCUGGCGGAGGACGCACAGACGACGACGGAGCCACGCGAUGUCGCACCGAGACUCAGGCGGCGUGUGGUGGUCGCAGGCGGGUGGUCAGUGACGGUGGCGGGCUCGUGUCCAGGUGCGCUGCCCGCCGACGUGGAGAUGCGCCUCCGCUUCCCACAACCGCAUCAGACUCAUCCAACCCAACCGCCUUACCAGAGAUGCUCUUGUCGAACACGUGUGAGCUGUGCGUGCUCAGCGGCUACUGAGCGCGUCUGCAGCCCCACCCCCGUCUCCGCCGCGACCCUGCCCCCGCCAGCGCGCCGCCGCC
rnacentral:misc_RNA from 1 species